ensembl:lncRNA
UUUACACCGAUCAGCCGUAACAUUAUGACCACCUGCCUCAUAUUUACACCGAUCAGCCAUGGCAUUAUGACCACCUGCCUCAUAUUGUGUCGGUCCCCCUUUUGCCACCAAAAAAGCCCUGACCCGUCAAGGCAUGGACUCCACUAGACCUCGGAAGGUGUGCUGUGGUAUUUGGCACCAAGACGUUAGCAGCAGGUCUUGUAAGUUACGGGGUGGGGCCUCCAUGGAUCGGACCUGUUUGUCCAGUACAUCCCACAGAUGAUCAGCUGGAUUGAGAUCUGGGGAACUUGGAGGCCAAGUCAACACCUUGAAUCUACCUCCACCGGCUUGCCUUCUUCCCAUAGUGCAUCCUGGUGCCAUGUGUUCUGCAGGUAAGCGAUGCACACACACCCAGCCAUCCACGCAAUGUAAAAAGAAACCUGAUUCAUCAGACCAGGCCACCUUCUUGCUCCAUGGUCCAGUUCUGAUGCUAACCUGCCCAUUGUAGGCACUUUCGGCAGUGGACUGGUGUCAGUAUGGGCACCCUGACUGGUCUGCGGAUACACAGCCCCAUACACAACAAACUGUGAUACACUGUGUGUUCUGACACCUUUCUAUCAGAACCAGCAUGAACUUUUUCAGCAAUUUGAGCUAAAGUAGCUCGUCUGUUGGAUCAGACCACACGGGCCUGUCUAAAGACUUGUUGCUGCCACUGUCCAAAGUCCUGCUGGCUGUGUUGACCACCCCUCCAGCCUCCCCCAUUUCAUAGUUAGGAUGUUUUUAAUAUUAUUUUACAAUGUGGAAAAUGUUUAAACUAAAAAAAAGAACUUGAAUGAGUAGGUGUGUCAAAUGCUUGACUGGUACUGUAUGUUUCAGGUUUGGUCCUCACAACAAUUGUGCUACUAACGUGUGUUUAUAAAAGUGUGUUUGUGUGUGUGUGAGUGUUUGCGUGUGUGUGUGUCUGUUCUGUGUGUGUUUUUAUGGCUGUGUAUGUGUGUCUGGUCUGUAUGUGUGUGUGGGGGGGGGUCUGUGUGUGUGUGUGUGUCCAUAUGUUUCUGCAUGUGGGGUUCAGUGGGAUUAUAUAAGGACAGAGCUCCCAUGUCAGUCAGUCAGAGUCUCAGCAGAACCACCACUCUGUAAUCCCCUUAUCACACACACACACACACACACACACGCACAAACACACCCAUUGACACACACACAAAUGAAUAGAGUGUGUGUGCAUGUGUUUGUACGCGGUUCCCCUGUGUUAAUUGAGUGCAAACAGCCGGGCAGAGUACCACAGGAAAACUGAAUUUCUCUACAUCACCACCGAAAAUGUUUGAUAAUGGCCAGUAGUUGGAAAUGGAGUUGAAAUGGGUUGGAAUUCUUAAAUGAACACAGGCAACAUUUAUUCACCCAGCUGCAUCUCAAAGAGUACAUAAAGUUUUCAUUUGUUUUGGCACUUUCAAAAGACUUUGCACUGGUCAGA